UUCUCUUAAGUAACGCAGCGCCUGCAGGAAUGUCAUUGAGUUUUUUUUCUUUCUAUGACUUCACACAAAACCUAAUAUUUAGGUUUUUAAAUAAAGUGCCUUCUCAUCGGAAAAGUGAAGGCUUUCUCGGCUGCGAGGGAGAAGAUCUGCCAUGAGGCGAGGAAACAAACUCUCUGAACAAACUGCAGGAGAACCAUGUGAACGAGUGCAAAGCUGACUGAGGAAGGUCAGUUAAGUAAGCAUUCAGGCCGAAAGCAGCAGGGACACGAUGGAUUACCUUCUUAUAGAGCAGGGCAAAGAAUCAGUGACGUCCGGGUGGGUGUGAUCCAUUAUUAUACACCUGGCUUUCCACUGGAGUCAGGGUGUCGCGCUGACCACCACCUGCCCUCACCAGCUAUGCAGCUGGCGAACCACACCACGCAGCAGAGGGUCCGAAGGCUCUCUGCUGUUGAAUGAUAGAAGCUGCUCAGCAGGUAGCAAGGGAGGUGAACGUGUCUUAGCUUCCUCAGGAAGCAAACGCCUCAGCUGGGCCUUCCCCACCUGACAGGAGAUCCGUGGUUCAAAUGAGGUCAACCUAAAUGUGAACACCAAGGUAACUAAAACUAUCUACCUGCUCUACUUCUUGAAGUCCACAAUCAUUUCCUUGGUUUUUGUAGUGUUUAAAUCCAAAUGAUUGUGAUAGCAAUAACCUGUGAGAGGCCUGACCUUCUCCCUGUAGGUGGUUUUGUUAUUAUGUAGAGUUGUUCACCUCAACUAAAAUAAUGUUUCAUUCCAUCCUAAUGCUGGGGUUUGUUUUUAAGGAUAUCAGAGGCCAGAUUGAGAUGGUUUGCAGGAUGGCUCUGGUCAUUUAGCUGUAUUUUCCCUAUGUGUGUUUUAAAUUCUGGAUCCCUUGUCCCAUGUGGCCAGUGCACAUGGGACAAGGUGCAGGUCCCGUCCCAUCCCAGUGACGAACUAUUUCGACUUCUGCAAUCAGGCAGAAGUUUCCACACUAUCAGGGCAAAAACAGAGAGACUCAAGAGGAGCUCCCACUCCCACUUCCCUCAUAACAUCACCCAAAGUGACGGAAACAGGACAUUAUAUCAUAUUCUUGUCACGUCCCAGAACUUUUACUGUCAUGUUUCAUAUCAUAUCUGAUUUAUUAUUACAUCACACACUGAUUCACUGAUCAUACUGCUUCACUACUAUUUAUAUUACUCUGGUUACUCUGUUUAAUUAUCCUGUUAAAAUACUCUGCUUACAUUACUCUGGUCACUUUGUUUUCUCUGCUUUCAUUGCUCUGUCAAUACAUUGUUGUGCUAAUAUGGCACAAAGCACUUUAACAUUAAGUUCGCACAUUGUACUUUUUUCAGAUUUAAAUUUAAAAUUUCCAGAUUUAAUUUAAAUUUAAAUGUACUUGUUUUUAAUAUAAUGUCUUGCACAGUCAAAGGAGCAGUUCAGGACACAUUUGACUGUGUGUUGUACUUGUAUCACUAUGCAUGUGACGAAUAACGAAUCUUGAAUCUGUGGAGCCGCAGCUAUCAAAGCACUCAAAAAUCCAAUUUAGGCAUUUAAGGAACACAGACCUUUGACCUUUGAAUUGCCAAACAAAACAAUUAUAGUCUUCUUCUUCUUUACUAAUUUGUCCCCAUCACUUUGCUCCUGCUGUGACAUGUCAGACGAAAGAGAACAGCAGGAAAAUGGUGCCUUCAUAAUGCAACAAAACACAGAAGAGAUGGGAUAUUGUUCUUUCCUUUUCACAAGAACAAUGAAGCUGUAGAUUUCUCCUCAGGCUCCACCCAACUGACAGCCAUCCGCCAGACAGAUUUUUUUUAAAGUUUGGUUUAAUGGCGUCUUUAAUAAAAGAUGUUAUUGCAGAACUGUGGGUGAGUCAGAUUACUCUAAAAUACAAAUUGCACUCCAAGUUUUCUAGUUUGGUUCCACCAGACUGGUUGUGGAGUUUCUGUUAUGGACUUUGCAUUGUUCAACCUGUGGCCUGCAUGGGUUUUAUUAGCAUGAUUAAAGUUCAAGGAGUAAUUUCAAUAUACAGUGGAACAUAAUCAGAAUCAAUCUGAAUCUAACCACGUAAUCAGGGAUUAAUCAAGCAGUUCUUGUCAAUCUAAAUGUCAUUAUUUUUUCUGAUUGUGUAACUUAGAUGACAUUUUAUUAGUUAUUACCCAGCCCUGUGAGGAUGAAGACUAGAUAUGGAGUCUUCAUUCAUAUAGUGUGUAAUUUUUAUCUAAAGGCAGCUAUGUCUGUGUCAUGGUCAGUUUUGAGUUUGUCGGAGGUUUGGGGAUUUUUUUUUUUACAUUCUUUUUUGGGGAUUUUUAAAUUAUUGUAGAGUUUAGUUCUGCCUGAGAGUCUUACAUCUGGGUCCUUUUCUGUCUUGCCUCACACACCAUUUUAUGACAGUCUGGCAUACAAAAGCAUAUAAGGAGCUCAUGGCAAAGCCUGACCCCAAACCAUCUAUGUGGUGGUGGUGCAACACAGGUUGGUAAAUCAGUUCCUAUGUUGCAUGCAGGUAUGUUGAACCACUGAGACACGUCAGCUAAGAAGCAUGAGUGUGGCUGGGAAGGUAAAGGAAUGCCUCACUCCACCGCCAUAAAGAGCAGUGAGCAAAGUGAGCCACAGGUGUUCUCGCAGCACGCUAAUGAUUCUCCUUGAAUUUAAAUGUUAGCCCACGUCUCAUAAACCACACGGUGACUGUGGUGUCCCUCAAGCAGAACAGAGAGAAUGAGGAAUCCAGGAGAUGGAGCUGCAGAUCAUUAAAGAUUUUUUUCCGUACACCUGCUGCUCCUGGAGUAGGCCUCCGCCUGUGAGCGCCGACACAUCCUGCAGCACAGCAUCCCAAAGGCUCUGCAUCAGUUUGGAGACACAAGGGCAGAUGAAAGACCAUUCUCUGUGAAGGAAACGGUUUCCAGGG